CGGACGAUGGCUUCUGUCACUGC
rnacentral:piRNA from 1 species